AUUUGGAUCUGUAUUGAAUUUGUAAUAGCUUUGCAAAUUCAAGGUUUGUUUCAGAUAACUUGGGUUUUAUGAAAUAAAAUAGGGUUUACGUUUUGGGUGAUUUCAAGAGUUUUGUAUUAGAUCUAUAAGUGAAAUUUUGUGGAUUUAUGGUUAUAGUUGUGUUUAAUAUGUAUCGUAAAUUUGAGCUUGAUCUAACAAUUGAAUUGAGGAAUAUUGAGGUUUAAGUGGGUCAAGGUCUCAGAAAAUAGAAUUUUAGGUCUAGUGGGAAUUUUUAAGAUUUCUUGCAAUUUAUUAGUUGGAUUGAAGUGAAACUUAUGUGAGAGGAUAUUAGACUUGUUUUUCUAUGUGUAUGAGAAUUGUGAGAACAAUCGAAAGGUGCAAAGAAGUGAU
rnacentral:lncRNA from 1 species